rnacentral:rRNA from 1 species
UACAUGGGGUGCAAACGUUGCUCGGAAUUAUUGGGCGUAAAGCGCGCGUAGGCGGUUAGUCAAGUCGGAUGGGAAAGCCCUCGGCUUAACUGAGGAAGUGCACCCGAAACUGAGUAGCUAGAGUACUAAAGAGGGUCGCGGAAUUCCCGGUGUAGAGGUGAAAUUCGUAGAUAUCGGGAGGAACACCGGUGGCGAAGGCGGCGACCUGGGUAGAUACUGACGCUGAGGCGCGAAAGCGUGGGGAGCAAACAGG